rnacentral:misc_RNA from 1 species
UUUCCGUUGGUGAACCUGCGGAGGGAUCAUUAAUGAAUUAGAAAGGAGUUGUUGCUCUCUUGUCCCCGCGAGCAUUUGAACAACACAAUCUCUUCCAUCUUAUCCCGCUGCAACCUUGCGCGAGUCACUCUGCAAAGCGCUCGGCAGGCCUUGUGUUUUUUCUACUAUCUCCUAUGAAUGUAAUUCGAUGACUUAAUUCUAUACUCGCAGCUUAAACCACUUCCCACCACGGAUUUCUUGGCUCUAGCAUCGAUGAAGAUCCUACCCGAACGGACGAGC